GUCAGGCCCUAUCCUUUCAUUAGCAUAUUUAAACAGCUCAGGGGCGGGGGAAGCUUGUAGGCCGGCUCCGGGGACAGUUAUUGAGCACGCGCAGAGGCGGGGCGUCGGGUGCGCGCGAGCGGGCGGGCGGGCCGACCCGGAGGCGGGCUUCGGGAAGGGGCGGGGCCGGACUGCGGAAGGACCGCGAGGUGGGGGCGGGGGCCGCGUCCGCGCGCGCGGGGCGGCCGCGGCGGUGAGCCUGCGCGUCAGGGCCGCCGGCCUCUCCUUGGCUGUUGGAGGUGAUAGGGGUCGAGGGGAGGGAAAAAGGGGCUGGCGUCAGCCGCCCCUGUGAGGUGGCCGUAGCGUGGACGAGUAAGAAGGGUUGAGUAAAGUGGACAAACACCUGGUUAGGAGAAGAGGGCAGGCCCGCAGCCGCCCUCCGGAGGAGGACUCGGGGCCUCGCGGGCGCCGGAGGAGGUUCCUGGGCCUCGGAGGGCCGCCCCGGCGCGCCGCCCCGGCGCGAGCGGGCGCGGGCGGGGGAGGGGAAGUGAGAGGUUGUUUAUGACCGGGGACUAAUCUCCUCCGCGAGUCCCAGCGCUCCCUCUGGGGAGUGCGGUUGAGGGGCUGUCCUCGCACGGAGCCUCGCUCGGCCUCGGGGGAGCCACGAGAGGUGGGAGUUGGACCCGCAGCGGGCCAGGAGCCCUGUCAUUGGAGGACCCGCCAAAAAGGAAGCAAACCCUCUUUUUCUUUAUCCAACCCCAAAUAGCUAGGGCCUAGGGGGAAGACUCACAUAUCGAUAAAUGGUUUGUUGCCCGUUUUAUUCUCUGGGAAAUACAACUGAUCUUACCAAAGAAAUAACCUGUCUCUUGCCGUGUUUACUUAGAGCCAUAGAAUACCUGUUUCAGAGCUGAAGGGGACCUGAGCCCAUGAUAAUCCAUUACCUCGUGAGAAAGCGGAAAAACUGACUUCAGCUUGCCCAGAUGGCGCAGAGAAUGGGUUUCCCGUAACCCCGCCUGUGUCUUUCCUUCAGCCUCGUCCCAAAUGCCGUGGGAGGGAAGGCACUCUCUGUCAAGCUGCUGUCACCUUACCUGAAGUAAGGAGUCCACGCCUGCAUGUCCGAGGAAAACAGUUUUCUCAAACACAUUAGUUGAAAAACUGAAGACGCUGCCUAAAAUACAAGCUGAGUUAGAGACAGCCCUUGUAAGACUAGGUAGGUAUUUACAGGGCCUCUCCCACUAGCUUUGUUUUUCCAGAGUUUGUUCUUUAUCCGGAAAUUCUUAAUUUGCCUACUGAUCAUUUAAAGAAAGGGUUCUAUUAACAUUGACACAGAAGAGACACUUUGUGGCACUUUUUAAAAAUCUGAGUCUCGUGACUUGGUAUAACUUCUGAAACUUACUGUUAAUUUAUAGCAGAGCUAUUUGAGUAAUAUGCUCUUCUAUGAGUAUGAACAAUAGAAGAAGUGUGAUUUUUAAAGUGAUUUGGACUACAAAAUAAGAGCAUGGAAUAUAGGCUUUACAGCCAGUACUUGCUGAGGAUGUACUGUGUAUUAGGUGUGGUGCAUAUAAAAAAUAAAUAAAAUGUGGUCCCUGUCUUCAAAGAGCUUAUGUUUUCUAGGAAAAUGCUACAUAUUACUAGCUACUCCAAGGCAGAAAGUUGUUAGACACCAAAUCAGAAAAAAUAAAAAUGUAUUACCUUGGGGUGAUGCAGGAACAUUUUCCAAGGUUUCAGCUUUGCCUUAGUGUUUCUUAAACGGAUCAUAGAUCUGAAGAUAAGAAUCAGAGUUCUAUGGCAAAAUACGAGUUAUUUUACCAGUUAUAAAGAUGAAAUUUGUCUUUCAACUUGAUCAUUUGCAUAAUUUUAUACAAUUGCUCUUUAGUUCUUUAUAUUUGUGCUUUUCAAACUGGUCUGUGGACCCCAGCCUACUGAAAACAUUCUCUAGGAUCAUAAGAAUUUAUUUUAGGAGUCUGUUCAUUAUUCAGUUUUAAGAAACACUGUCUUAAAGGACUGGUAGGAUUUGGAUAUGGGUAAAGGAAGGGGAAGCUGCUAGUGAAAAGAUCUUCCCGACAUUGAAAAUGUGAAGAAAGGAAGUUAAGACAGCAUUGCUGAGGGCUUCCUGAGGAACAGUGAAGUUCAGCUAGGUUGGAGCAACAGGUGCAUGUAGAAUAGUACAAGAUCUAGAAACACAGGUGAGAUCUAGACAGUAGAGGGCCUUUAUUCCAAUCUAUGGAGGUUUUUUUUCCCCUAUAAAUUGGAGAUUUAUUUUUCAAUUGCGUUGCUAAGUAGAAGCAAUGUUUGAAAGAAAUCAAACUAGACUACUGAAGAUUAACAUGCGUUCACAAUGACCUUACCUAUUAUUACAGUUAUUCGAAAUCAUUUUUCAGUGGAGCCAUUGUCACAGGAUCCUUGGAGUGUCACUUUUCCAGCUGGAAAAAUGGCACCUCUGCCCGAAUUUUGGUCGGGCUCAUUCUGCCCACCAGUCCCAGCAGGCUGCACUCUGCUCAUACUACGGCCUGGAUCCCACACCUGCCAAGUGCAAGCCAGGUGCGGAGCAGCGAGGGGUGUGUGAGCGAGCAAGCAUGGGGUCCGGCCACUGUAUACAGCCCGGCAUGCCAGCUGCAGGAGGGCGGGCAGCUCUAGGGGCUGGCCCCUUGCAAGGCUGUGGCUGGUCCAGGUGUACUGCAAGCAGCUUCCACAGCUGGCACCAGGGAAUGCAGUGGCACCUGGAAGCUUGGAGAUGCCAGGAGCUGCAGAGCCCCAAAGAGGUUGUCACAGGGAGCUCCUAGGUCUAGGCUUCCUAAAGGGCCACAGCUCUUCUCUCCUCUCUUCCCCCUUCUCUUUCCUUUCUUCUUCUCUUCUUCUCUCUUCUCUUGUUGUGUUGCCCACAACAUGGCAAGCAAGGGGCAUAUUUCAGCCCGUUUGUGUUACAGCUCUUUCAGCCAUGCCAUUUGGCAGGUCCCGAGUUAUUGUCCCACAUCCAGGAAGAAU
rnacentral:lncRNA from 1 species